rnacentral:rRNA from 1 species
UUCAGCCCUUCGCGAGAUUGAUGAUGUCGGUUGUGGGAUCUCACGACUCCUCCGAUGUUACUUCUUUUUCGUGAUAGGUGCACUUUCCUCUUAGUCGGACCACGACCAGCGAGCUGUCUUGUCUAAGAUUUGUGGAAGGUAGCUUCUGCCUCGGUAGAAGUGUUAUAGCCACUCAUUUGGAGCGAGCGGAGCGUUGGAUAACUUGAUGCCUGCCCUUUGGGCUCGUACGUUGGCUUCUUUCUGCGGUGUUUCCGGCUUCACUGCCUCGGCAGGGGUGUUGGGGAUACUGUGGCUCGAGUCGGCCUCUGCGAUUGGCGUCUACAGUCAGUGGUUUCGAAGUAGGCAGUCCACCUGACCCGUCUUGAAACACGGACCAAGGAGUCUAACAUGUGCGCGAGUCAUUGGGCUCUACGAAACCUAAAGGCGCAGUGAAAGUGAAGAUUCAUUUUGGUGGAUUGAGGUAGGAUCCUGGGCUACGUGCUCAGGCGCACUACCGGCCCGUUCGACAUGUUUUCAUACGGGCGGAGCAAGAGCGUACACGUUGGGACCCGAAAGAUGGUGAACUAUGCUUGCGCAGGUCGAAGCCAGAGGAAACUCUGGUGGAGGACCGUAGCGAUUCUGACGUGCAAAUCGAUCGUCAAACGUGAGUAUAGGGGCGAAAGACUAAUCGAACCAUCUAGUAGCUGGUUCCCUCCGAAGUUUCCCUCAGGAUAGCUGGCACUCGGGAAAUGAAACAGUUUUAUCCGGUAAAGCGAAUGAUUAGAGGUAUUGGGACGAAACUGCUCUCAACCUAUUCUCAAACUUUAAAUGGGUAAGAUGCCCGACUCGCUCAAUUGGAGCCGG